ensembl:lncRNA
AAUGACUUAUUUUAAAACGUAAUUCAAAGACUGAAUGUCUAGUUUGGCGGUUAGUGUACCCUGUGAUUCUAUAGUCUGCAUUUAUUUUAAACAGACAAAUAAUCAGCAAUUAACUUGUACUUAGCCUAGACUUUAAAACAGGUAUUGUGACAAUAAAGGAUAUUUUAGCAACCAUUUGAAGCCAUAUAUUUCAGUUUCAGACCCUGCAGCAGCAGGCCCCUCAUCAUGGCCAGGUGAACGCAGUGACAGUGAGGUGAAUGUGACAGUGAGACAAGAUUCCAUGUCUGCAGAUGCAGAGAACCGUGGCUCUCACCUCAUCUUGAACAGGUCACUCUUUGGAUUGGCGCUAUUACGAACGAAGGCUCUGUCUAGCUGAUGUAUACGUGGUCAUCUUCCAUUUGAGUUCUAGGUAAGAUUCGGCUCAUUGCUCAGCAGGCAUCUUUAAAGUCCACGUGAACCGGAAGUUGUUAAGUUAAGUUAUAGUCAAGGCU